rnacentral:rRNA from 1 species
GGCGAUCAGAUACCGCCCUAGUUCUGACCGUAAACGAUGCCAACUAGCGAUCCGCCAGUCGACUCAUCGCUCUGGUGGGGAGCUUCCCGGAAACGAAAGUCUUCCGGUUCCGGGGGAAGUAUGGUUGCAAAGCUGAAACUUAAAGGAAUUGACGGAAGGGCACCACCAGGAGUGGAGCCUGCGGCUUAAUUUGACUCAACACGGGGAAACUCACCCGGCCCGGACACCGUAAGGAUUGACAGAUUGAUAGCUUUUUCAUGAUUCGGUGGAUGGUGGUGCAUGGCCGUUCUUAGUUCGUGGAGCGAUUUGUCUGGUUUAUUCCGAUAACGAGCGAGACUCUGGCCUACUAAAUAGUUGGCACAUUGCCACUGUGUGCACAACUUCUUAGAGGGAUUUUCGGUGUUCAGCCGCACGAAAUUGAGCAAUAACAGGUCUGUGAUGCCCUUAGAUGUCCGGGGCUGCACGCGCGCUACACUGGCAAAAUCAGCGUGCUUGUCCUCCCCCGAAAGGGGUUGGUAAACCGAUGAAAAUUUGCCGUGAUUGGGAUCGGACAUUGCAAUUAUUGUCCGUGAACGAGGAAUCCCUUGUAAGGGCGAGUCAUCAACUCGUCCUGAAUACGCCCCU